UAAAAAAACUAUGAUAUGGCUCAUUUAUUGAUCUUCUGUUUUUGCAGUUCAUCUGUGUUUGACGAACCGUCUGGCAAGACUGAUGUUGCUCUGGUUGUGGAAGGAAGACGUCUUCACGUCAGCAAAAUGGUGCUUGCAGCAGCGUCGGAUGUUUUUGACAAGAUGUUCAAUGGGAAUUUUAAAGAACAACAGAAACCAGAAGUCCCUCUCCCAGGAAAAAGGUAUGCUGACAUUGUGGACAUGCUUCUGUGUAUUUACCCAUCAGAACUACGGCCUGUCACCAAGGCAACAGUGGACAAGAUGCUGGAACUAGCUGACGAGUACCAGAUUGAGAGUCUAAAGCGGAAGUGUGAAGAUUUUAUGCUCUCGAUCUGUGGAAAUGACAAAACGCCGAAAGGAGAUGUUACACAUGCUUUAUAUCUGGCUGAUAAGUACAGCCUGCCUAACCUCCUGGAAGUAACUAUACACAUUGUGAAAAAAUAUCGGUUUAGAGAUUCAAGGGAUAUAGACUAUGACUUGGAUGGAUAUAGAACCGUGGGCUGGAGCAGGAACAAGACUUCGUGAACCUUGGGAAUGAAACAAAGCUGAAACUUAUGGCAGAAAUGAUUGUCUAUUUAGACAAAAAAUCAGCGAUGUAUCAGUAUAUAAUGUUUAACAUCGACUCAAAACUGAAAAGAUACUCUC